AUUUUAAUCCAACAUCGARGUCGCAAUCUUUUCUUUCGAUUUGAACUCUCAAAAAAAAUUACGCUGUUAUCCCUAARGUAAUUUAUUCUUUUAAUCUUUAAAARGAUCAAAUACUCACAAAUUAKUGUAAAAAUAAAAAAAAAGUUUAUUUAAUUUUUCAAUCACCCCAACUAAAUUAACAACUAUACAGUUAAAAGUUAAACCUAAAAUUACUUGUAUAAUAAUUAAUAAAACUCUAUAGGGUCUUCUCGUCUUUUAAUUAAAUUUAAGCUUUUUUACUUAAAAAUAAAAUUCUAAUAAAUUUAGAUAGAGACAGCUAUUUUUCCAUCCAACCUUUCAUUCCAGCUUCCAAUUAAAAAACUAUUGAUUAUGCUACCUUUGCACGGUCAAAGUACCGCGGCCAUUUAAAUCCUCAUAGGGCAGGCGAGACCUUAAAUUAUACUCAAAAG
rnacentral:rRNA from 1 species